AGGCGACGACGGGUAGCCGGCCUGAGAGGGUGACCGGCCACACUGGGACUGAGACACGGCCCARACUCCUACGGGAGGCAGCAGUGGGGAAUAUUGCACAAUGGGCGGAAGCCUGAUGCAGCGACGCCGCGUGAGGGAUGACGGCCUUCGGGUUGUAAACCUCUUUCAGCAGGGAAGAAGCCACAAGUGACGGUACCUGCAGAAGAAGCGCCGGCUAACUACGUGCCAGCAGCCGCGGUAAUACGUAGGGCGCAAGCGUUGUCCGGAAUUAUUGGGCGUAAAGAGCUCGUAGGCGGUUUGUCGCGUCUGCUGUGAAAGCCCGGGGCUCAACCCCGGGUCUGCAGUGGGUACGGGCAGACUAGAGUGCAGUAGGGGAGACUGGAAUUCCUGGUGUAGCGGUGAAAUGCGCAGAUWUCAGGAGGAACACCGAUGGCGAAGGCAGGUCUCUGGGCUGUUACUGACGCUGAGGAGCGAAAGCAUGGGGAGCGAACAGGAUUAGAUACCCUGGUAGUCCAUGCCGUAAACGUUGGGCACUAGGUGUGGGGGACAUUCCACGUUCUCCGCGCCGUAGCUAACGCAUUAAGUGCCCCGCCUGGGGAGUACGG
rnacentral:rRNA from 1 species